GACGAACGCUGGCGGCGUGCUUAACACAUGCAAGUCGAACGGGAAUAUCCGAGUAGUAAUACGAGGAUAUUUUAGUGGCGGACGGGUGAGUAACGCGUGAGCAACCUGCCUUUCAGUGGGGGACAACAGUUGGAAACGACUGCUAAUACCGCAUGAUGUAUUGAGACGACAUCGUCUUAAUACCAAAGAUUUAUCGCUGAAAGAUGGGCUCGCGUCUGAUUAGCUAGUUGGUAGGGUAACGGCCUACCAAGGCGACGAUCAGUAGCCGGACUGAGAGGUUGGCCGGCCACAUUGGGACUGAGAUACGGCCCAGACUCCUACGGGAGGCAGCAGUGGGGAAUAUUGGGCAAUGGGCGCAAGCCUGACCCAGCAACGCCGCGUGAAGGAAGAAGGCUUUCGGGUUGUAAACUUCUUUGACCAGGGACGAAAGAAAUGACGGUACCUGGAAAACAAGCCACGGCUAACUACGUG
rnacentral:rRNA from 1 species